CAAGGGCGGGCAGCCGGGACAAGGGCGGGCAGCUGGGACAACGGGGAGCGGCUUCCCGCUGCCAGAGGGACGCCGGGGAGAAUUUCGUCCCCGGGAGGUGGGCGUGUGGCCCUGGCGCAGGUUGCAGAGAUAAGCUGUGGAUGCCCAAUCACUGCAAGUGUUCAAGGCCAGAUUGAACGGGGUUUGCAGCAUCCUUCCUGGUCGGGAGAAAGGAGUCCCUGCCCCAUGGCGAGCGGCGUGGGGGCAGCGAAAUCUGGUGGUUUUUUGAGCAUCCCUUCCAACCCAAACCAUUCAAGGAUUCAAUGGUACUAGAAUCUCUUUUCAGGUUUCAUCCCCCAGCAAAAAGCACAGAAUCAAUUAGGUUGGAAAACACCUCAUCGAGUUUAACACAGGACCGAACACCACCAUGUCAACCAGACCAUGGCACUGGAUGCCCUCUUUCCUUAAACACCCCCAGGGACAGUGAUUCUACCACCUCCCUGGGCAGAAACAGUUACUUUGUGCUGUUCUCAUCUACUCUAGUCUGAGUUUUACAGAGGAAAAUUCCUGAAUUUCUAUAAACACCUAUUAACGGAAAAGAUCUGACUGAAUUUGGAGCAAGACCAUACAUACACUGUGUAGUGAAAGACUGUAAAAUACUGUUCCAGUUUGCAAUGAAAAUGCAACUAAGUUUGAUGAGAAGCUUCAUGUAGAUACCUUUCAGAACAACAGGCAGAAGGAUUUUUAGAACAAUGGGCCACCCUUAUACAAUUGCAGCAUUUAUGUUCAAAUGCUGUUUCAAAUGUCGUUAUGUUCAUGCUAAUCCUGCCUAACUACAUGUUCAGUACUGUUAAGAAAAUGUUACUAAAAUGAAGCCUGGAGUUAUCAAUUAAAUCUUUUACUCUUUAAAUCA